AGGAGAGUUUGAUCCUGGCUCAGGAUGAACGCUGGCGGCGUGCUUAACACAUGCAAGUCGAACGGGGUUUAAGAAGGAAGCUUGCUUUCAUUUUAAACCUAGUGGCGGACGGGUGAGUAACGCGUGAGGAACCUGCCCUUCAGUGGGGAACAACAACUAGAAAUGGUUGCUAAUACCGCAUAAUGUCGGAGAGCCGCAUGACAUUCCGACCAAAGGAUUUAUUCGCUGAAGGAUGGCCUCGCGUCCGAUUAGAUAGUUGGUGAGGUAACGGCCCACCAAGUCUACGAUCGGUAGCCGAACUGAGAGGUUGAUCGGCCACAUUGGGACUGAGACACGGCCCAGACUCCUACGGGAGGCAGCAGUGGGGAAUAUUGGGCAAUGGGCGAAAGCCUGACCCAGCAACGCCGCGUGAAGGAUGACGGUCUUCGGAUUGUAAACUUCUUUAAUUGGGGAAGAACAAAAUGACCUACCCAAAGAAUAAGUCACGGCUAACUACGUGCCAGCAGCCGCGGUAAUACGUAGGUGACAAGCGUUAUCCGGAUUUACUGGGCGUAAAGGGCGUGUAGGCGGUCUUGCAAGUCAGAAGUGAAAUUCCUGAGCUCAACUCGGGCGCUGCUUCUGAAACUGCAGGACUUGAGUGCUGGAGGGGAUAGCGGAAUUCCUAGUGGAGCGGUAAAAUGCGCAGAUAUUAGGAAGAACACCGGUGGCGAAGGCGGCUAUCUGGACAGUAACUGACGCUGAGGCGCGAAAGCGUGGGGAGCAAACAGGAUUAGAUACCCUGGUAGUCCCCU
rnacentral:rRNA from 1 species